AAGGAAGGAGAGGCUAUUUCUACAGGUGUCACAGAAAAAUCAAUCCUAGGCCACGGGUUAUUGGACCCCAUGGAACUGUGGAGAAUUGGCAGUGAAAUUCUUACAAAGG
rnacentral:lncRNA from 1 species